AAUACCCCAGCCCUGAAUCAAGCGACCGCGCCUCCCCGCCUCCUCCGCCGUGCCGUCCUCCCGGCACCGUGGCCUGCCCCCUCUCUGCCGCGCCCUCCUCCCCCGCACCGUCCAAGUCCUCCGUGCGCGGUUCGCCCACGCCGAGGCCCAGGCCGCCGCGCUCCGUGCCCGCGCCGGCCGGCCGGCUCGAGCGCGCGCCGGAGGAGAGGAGGUCGGCUGGAGGGGAGCGACCAACGUCGUGGUGGUCUCGCCGGCGAGCGACGGGAGGAGGGCGGAGAUGAUGCGUAGGAGGGCGAGGCGGCUGUGUGCAGGAGGCUUCCCGACGGAUUGGGGAGACAGCGCGAGGCAUCUUCGACGGCAUGGGCCGGGGCGCCGUGCUUCCUCAGAUUCGCGUUUUGAGUGUGUGUCCAGUUUGUCGCUUCCCUCGACGUCGACGGCUCCAUGAUCAGUCGUGUUCUCUUCCUACUAAGCCAUGAUGAGAUAUCACCGAGUUCGCCGGCGGAAGAAGAACAUCUCUCGAGCCGUCCAAUGUUGCCUGCGGCGGCUACACCAGAGGUUCAGUUCACAAGAGCAACCAAAAAGGUUCCAGAUUCAUCUCAUGAUGAGGAGUGAGCAUGUGAAUUAAUGUGUGCAUGAAGCUAGACACAGUUCUUAUCAAGUGGGUCUGAAGGAGUUGGGCAGUGGGUGGUUCCCAUCACACUCUGCUGUUGUUCAUACUUGGUUCAGCGAAAGUUCUUUUUCCGUGGAAAACCGGAGGAUUUCAGUUUGUUAGUGCUCGUAGAAUGUCAAAAGAAAGAUGGCAUAAGGAGGUUUAACCAAGAUGUCCUUUUGUUGGUUUUCCUGUGUAAUUAGCACUUACAAAUAUGGAGUACAGGUAGGAGAAUGCUACGGUUCUGCCUGCAUCUGAUGGGUGACGUGGCUCAGCCCAGCGGCUCUACAGAACCAUCAGAUAACCUGGGACGAUCAUGCCUCUUUGCUAGAGAAGAUUGUAGCUUAUGAAGUCUGUGUCUGACUCGCCAUUAGAUCGUUCAAUAUGCUAUCUUGUGGUUUAAUUGAUGAUUUCUUUUUCUUAGUUUUCAGGCUGUGUAUACAAUCAGAAAUCUGAUAGACUGGAGAGAAGGCUAGGUGUUUGCCACAUUGUUUCGGCUACUUCCAUCUGGCGAUUCCAGAUUACUAAUACAGUGACAAUCCUUCAGAUUUAGGGGAUACAAUGUCGGAUUACAUUAUGUGGAUGUAUUGAAG